rnacentral:rRNA from 1 species
UAGGGAAUAUUAGAAAUGGACGAAAGUCUGAUCUAGCAACACCGCGUGUGCGAAGAAGGCCUUUGGGUCGUAAAGCACUAUUUGGAAGGAAUAGGAAGGAAUGUACUUCCAGAAUAAGUCUCGGCUAACUACGUGCCAGCAGCCGCGGUAACACGUAGGAGGCAAACGUUAUCCGGAUUUACUGGGCGUAUAGCGCGUGUAGGUGGUACUGUAAGUAGGGCGUGAAAGCUCCUGGCUCAACUGGGAGAGGCCGUUCUAAACUACAGAACUAGAGGAUGGUAGAGGGAGGUGGAAUUCCAGGUGUAGCGGUGGAAUGCGCAGAUAUCUGGAGGAACACCGGUGGCGAAGGCGGCCUCCUGGACCAUUCCUGACACUCAGACGCGAAAGCUAGGGUAGCAAACGG